UUUGUGAAGAAGCUUGCCAUCCAAGUGUGUCCUUCAUGUUUUAUUGUACUCUUACAGCGUUCAUCUUGAUUGUGUUUCAGAAGUUGGAUGGUGCAAGUUCAUUUCCCUUAGACAAUCGUGCAAACUGAAGUGCAUUUACAGCAACGCGUAGUUUCUUUGGAUUGACUCGAUCUCCUAUUCAGAUAGUUACUUGAAGAUAAAGACACUUCAGAAAACCUUAGUGAUGUCAGUAUCAAAAAGAGGCAGCAGGAAGCAGUUUUGCUGCCUAAUUACACUUAUCUUGUAACCUGUUACACCCUCUCAAGAUCACAUCCUAAGGAUUAACCAGAUCCACUUCUGGUAAUUGUUGAUGACUUAGAGGGGAUGA
rnacentral:lncRNA from 1 species